CCCACACCAUGGGAUGGAGCUGUAUCAUUCUCUUCCUUGUGUCAGUAAUGACAGGUGUCCACUCCCAAGUACAGCUGCAUCAGUCAGGGCCUGAACUGGGAAAACCGGGGACCUCAAUAAAGUUGUCUUGCAAGGCUUCAGGCUACACCUUCACUAGCUACUCUAUUAGCUGGUUGAAGCAAAGUCCUGGACAGGGCCUGGAGUAUAAUGGAUAUAUUUAUCCUAGUAAUGGUGGUACUGGCUAUGCACAAAAGUUCCAGGGCAAGGCCAAGCUGACUGCAGACACCACCUCCAACACAGCCUACAUGGAGCUCAGCAGCCUGACAUCUGAAGACUCUGCAGUCUAUUACUGUGCAAGACACAGUGUUGCAACCACAUCCUGA